CCUUUUCUCUUUCCCUAACCUUACCGAGAGUUUCGUUACCUUUACUGUACCCUCACGCGCGUCAUUAGACAAAAACAGAAUAGUGGUCCAAAGCAGGCUAUCUCUUUCUAGUUUUUCACGUGAGAACUUUACCCCCACUCCUCGUAUGUUCGGUCUAUAGAUCCUAUGUCUAUGUGUUAUGCGCGUCGUUCUUUCGCGGCGGCCAUUGUUCUGGUUGUGCGUUGUGCGCGCCAAUUCUGAGUUGGUCGUAUUUAGCGUUAACGUCGGCAGUCCGCAGUCCCGCGUCGUAGUUUAAUUAAGUUGCGUUAGUCAGUCGCGUUCUGUAAUUAGUAAGUCGCGUCGCAUAUUUUUAGUGAUCUGUCCGUUGUGAGCGUACCGCGCGUCGCUUCUUACCGCGCGGCACAUGUUAUAUCCUGUGCAACACGUCCUGUGUGCAACAGCCUCCUCUAUUUGCUUUUCGCCGGGACGAGACCGCGUGUUAAUUUUAUACCAUUGAAAGUAGUGAAAGUGACAUUUCUGAUACAUAUAUACACAUAUAUAGAUUAUUGAGAGACGUCGACGUAUCUUACGUAAGUAUCUUAAUAUAAAAUUUUUAUUUUUGGACCGUCGCAAUAUAUCCCCGCUCGUGGGGCAUGUAAAUAAGCUAAAACUACAUCUAUCGUAACGCUUAUUUGAUCGUGGUCGUAAAUAAUAAAGCCGUGUCAUAAACCGUAUAUCUGUGCCAAUACAUCUAUAAACACAUUUUUUUUCACAUGUCGAGAAAGCUGACAAGUUAGGUUAUAUAUUGUAAUAGUUUAAUAGUUUGAUUAAAAAUAUAUUUAUUCGUACACAGGUAUCACUUUGGCUAGAGCUAACUAGACAGUUGAUGAGGACCGUUGUCAGGACCGUGAAAUUUAUAAAGAAUUUUUUCAAGGAGGAAGUAAUAAUUUGUAGACGUAUUGUCUAACUACGUGUAGAACUACGAAAAAAUUCAUAGCUACGUGCUUGGUACUAACAGAUGCUUGAUGAAAAUGUUUAUCACUCCUAGCACCAAAGUUCUGUGGAAAGAAAUUAAGAUAUGCUGUGCAAAAGCGGUACAAAAAUAUUGAUGAUCGUGUCAUUAAAAGUACAAUAAUUGAUUGGUUCCGGUGAGCAUCGGAUAGGAUUCCGAAGAUUCGCGAUGAGAAAUGACGAAAUAACUUCUAUCGAAGUUAAUCUAUCUACGAUUUUCUAUCUUGUACGAACCGCUGUGGUUCAAGAAGAAGCAAGAUCCGUACAUGGACAACCGUUGUUUCGUUUAUAAUGGCGAAUAUUGUGAUCACAAGAGCAGAGGUGACUGGUCGCGAUGUCCAAACAUAUUUUAGUUUGUUAUAUAGAUAGAUUCCAUUGUGUGAUGUGACUUUGUCACAUACACAUGCAGUGUGCAGAGAAAUUUUGUUCAAAAGUGACGGUAGCCGAGAUUAGAAGUCGCGACUGUUCGCGGUCGAGACUUUAAAUGCUUAUGAAAUAACGUUGACGUGAUAAUGGGGUUAUGGGAUAUGGUUUAGCAAUUAAUUCUUCCAAUGAAGUGGACGAAACUUGUUGGCAACUCUGACAUGUGCAAUGUGUAAUUUGUACUUGCAUGUGUCUCGCCACCGCCUAUUCUUUAACUCUUCUACCUCUCUUCCUUUCCUCCCCCCUUUUUCUUCCCCGUCUUUCUUUUCGUCUCUUCUUUUCUCUAGUACUGAAGUAAUAUUUAGUCCAACGUGAUGUUUGAUUAACAUCCCACGCAACACAAGGACGUCCUAAGACGUCCAAUGGACGUCGCGGUCGGACAUGUCUUGACGUCCAGAUGACAUACCAAUUGUGUCUUGUAGACGUCUAGGAAACGUCCUUCGGACGUACAAU